rnacentral:lncRNA from 1 species
AAUUGAUAGGAUUGAUUAGGGAUGCCUCACAGUGAGGGGCCGAGCUUCUGGCUGCGCCCUGAAUGUCGUGUGGGGCCUUUAAACGUGGACACGAAACGUUGUCACUGGAAACUGUGGGAAGCAGGGCUCUCCAGAGAGCAAAGCAGAACGGAGUCUUACCUGUUCGUGGUCCACCCACGUUUCCUGGCAUGCUUGGCAAUGCUUACAGUCAACGGUGGCUGGAAAGCCAAAGCCCCUUUGAGGAGGAAAUACUAUGAAGAUGAGAGACAGUAUCCAAGAAAGAUAGAAAAGUAGCCAUCGAGGGACAAUGUACACUUAAAAUAUAAUAAAUAUGUGGAACAGCAAAGUUGGAUGUUAGUA